rnacentral:rRNA from 1 species
UACCGAUGCUUUUGUCUCGAAGAAGCAAACGAUGUACACGACGAGGACGAGGAAGGCGGGGGGGAGGCGUUAAUGGACAGAUGACUAGUUCGGCGACCGUCGUUUCAGCCGGUACCGGCCGAGCUUCUUAUGGUGGGCUAUUAAAACAAGGGCCCGUAUUCGACGGGGUUGGAGCUCCGCGCCGACUGGCUGCGGAUGCGGGGCAGCGAAGGCGCGACGCCGCGCGAGUUCCCCUUCCCCACCAAGGGCGACACCUUGUUGUGGGCCCUGGACGAGCUGGUGCUGAUGAACGGCACGAACGACCUCGUCUACUCGGAGGACAUGCUGGGGUAGGAGUUGCUGAAGGCCUUGGUCGGGUCGCAACUCUGCGCGCACGGCCUGAAGCCAAGAAGGAUGCCAAAGUGCCGUUUCCUGCUACAACAUUGAGCCGCAGAGGUCCCCUGUACUGCAUAAAACGGACAAUUUCGAGGCGCUUCUUGACCUCCGUGUUCCCAUGGCGCUAUGCCGUGCGAGGUGGGAGUGGGCCGGUCGGUAGAGUACACAUGAGGCUGAUGAAACGGGCACAGUUCCUAGACCAGGUCGUACGCUCGUUCUUCUUACUCUUGUUCGGCCAGUAGGAGCACCCCGUAUCGAAGCCUCGGUCCCGCCGGGAGCUGAAGCAGUUAAGCUGAGGGGUUACCCGAAACACGUCCACCAGUGCUUGGAAGAGAGGGUCGGUCUCCAGUAACAACAGGGUUGUCAAUUCGCCGACCCAAAUGCCGAUUACACCUCCUGAAAGCGUUCGAGGGAAAGUAGGCACGGCAGAGGAGACCAAAAGCCAAUGCCCGGCGAACAUCAAUGGUUUGUAUCUUUGAUGAGUCGCAUGCUGAUGUGCCUAAAGGAGUGACACGAGCCAAAGUCGUGGCUGCAGCACUUCGCCCACGAUGGUUGCUUCGACUUCCAACUGCGAGGUUACCACGGUUGGUGUAUGGAAUGACCACGGUCGUAGGUUUGCGGUUUAGUCCACUACAAGACCACCAAGGUCUCAUACAUAUACCGCUACCACUGUUCCAACACUUGAAUCAUUCGCACAACCGCAAGCACUUUCUUUAAUCGUCUGUCGUCGCCGCCUCAUUGUAUGUGAAGUUCAAGCAGUUCUAAUUAUUACAAUGGGUGAGAUGAUAACAAUAGGUCCUUGUGGGCGAGUUCUCUCAAUACCGACUUUAAGAUCUUCGUUUAGUGUCUUCUC